CUGUGCUCUUUCAAAUCAUUGAAGAAUUCUAACCAUUUAAAAAGCUGGGAGCCUAAAACUCCACAGAAGAUACUGUAACUUCAAACACAACGAAUAAAGCUUUGAUGAGAGGUAAUCUUCACCGCGUGACUAAGACACAGUGCAACAGGCUGGCUGGACGAUGCUGAUGAAGUGAGGCAAUAAAAGCAACUGAAAUUAACUCAC